UUUUUUAUUUAUUUUGAUGAGAAGUGUUGCAAUUAGGAAUAUUAUUUCCUUAAUCUAAUUAGGAAGUUUUCUUGUCUUAGUUAGUUAUAAAAGGUCUGUUGUAAUAACCCGACUUUUAAGUUUUGGGUUUUUAUUGAAAUUUCAUACGUGUGGGAUAAAAUUAACGAUGACAUUUAAAUUGAGAUGAUAUAAUGUAUAUAAGUUGGAGGGGCUGAAAUUGUAAUUUUUAUAAAAAUAAUAUUAGAAUUGAAUUCUUUGAGCCGAAAGUUGUCGGCGCCAAAAGGAAAGAGAAAGAAAGAAAGGAAAAGAAAAAGAAAAAUAAUAAAUAUAAAUAAUAAAUAUAAAAUUUUAUAUAAAUAUACUUUAUAAAAUUUAUAAAUAGAGAGGGAGGUUCGGAUGAAUGGGGACUGAGAGAAGGAGAAAGAAAGAUAGGGUAAAAAAAGGAAAGAGAGAACUGAGAGAAAUUAUAUGGUGUGGUUAAGUUUUGAUCAUUAGACAUGGUGUCACACGGUGAGAUGAUGUCGGAUUAAUGUGAAAUUUUAGUAUGAUGAUCAUAGGAGCCAGAUCUUCAUAAUCUAAUGGUGUUAAUUUCAUUUGAGGUAAGCAGGAGGUUAUACAUAUGCUUUCUAAACUCUGGAGUUUUUUCUAAAAUAUCUAUUUUGUAUUCCUCUGAGCAUUGUUUGCUAUCUGUUGAAAUCCAUGGUUAAUUUAUUGGCAUCGUGAUAUGUAUGAUGUUAUUGUUUGAUGGCUAAAUGCUAUGGAAUAGAAUGAUACUGUACUGGUGGAUCCCCGCCAAUAAUUCCACUAUUGACCGGGAAAAGCACGAGAGCUAGGAGACGUGGAUGAGGCCGACACUAGUAAUGUAUCAGAAAGACCUGGUAUAAGGUCUUUGAUGAAAUAUGGAUUCGUUGUGCUACUCUGACAUUUGUUGUGAUUCUUAUUGAUUCGUUUAGCAUAUUUCCCGUCGUAUUGUAUAACUUCCCUGUUACAAAUAAUUUUUCAGGAUCGUGGGUUUCGUAUAGUACGAGAUGGGUCAGUGAAAGACUUGAAGAUUUUUGAUCUUUUUGUAUUAUUACCCUUGGAGACAUUGUAAAAAUAACUAUUUGGAGACUAUUUGCAUAUUUGAAAGAAAAAGUGCUCUGAUUUGUAUUUGAGAAAAAUAACGGAGAAUUUUAGUAUUAAUUAAACGGCCCGGAGGGUCGGGUCGUCACAAAUGGUAUCAAAGCUUAGGCUUUAGGUCUUAACAUGGGAUCGUGUGGGAGGUUAUAUGUUAGAUCGUAUAUGGAGAUUGUGUGGGGAGAAUAAAAAUGGUAUCGAGUGCGCAGUGGAAGCGUGUAUUUUUUGAUAGUGAUACAAAAUUAAGACUUUUUUAAUUUCGAGGACCGCAUUUUUUUAAGAGGGGAAAGAAUGUAAUACCCGACUUUUAAGUUUUGGGUUUUAAUUGAAAAAUAGAUUCCAUAACUUGUGGGGGGAAAAUUAACGAUGACAUUUAAAUUGAGAUGAUAUAAUGUAAUUAGAAGUUGAGGGGCUGAAGUGUAAUUUUUAUAAAAUAAUUAGAAUUGAAUUCUUUGUUGAGCCGCAAGUGUCGGCGCCAAAAGGAAAGAAAAGGAAAGGAAAGAAAAGAAAAAGAAAAAUAAAUAAAAUAAUAAAAUAAUAAAAUAAUAAAAUUUAUAUAUAAAUAUCACUUUUUAAAAAUUUAUAAUAGGAGAGGGAGAGUUCGUGAAUAAGAUAAGAGAGCAAAGAAAGAGAGAAAAAAAGGAAAGAGAAUGAGGAGAAUUAGAUGGUGUGGUUAAGUUUUGAUCAUGAAAGCAUGGGUGUAAAUUUUCAACGGUGAGAUUAUAUCGGAUAAUGUCAAAUUUUGUAUGAGGAUCCUGGGGCCAGAUCUUCAUAUCUUGGUGUUUUAUUUAAAUUUGAGGUAAGCAGGAGGUAUACAAUAUCUUCUAACUCCCGAGUAUUUUGUCUAAAUAUCUGAUUUUGUAUUCCCCUUGAGCAUGUGUGCUAUCUGUUGAAAUCCAUGGUAUUUUGUUGGCAUCGUGGAUAAUGUAUGAUGUUAUUAUUUGAUGCUAAAUGCUAGGAAUAGAUGAAUACAUGUACUGAGUGGAUCCGCCAAUAGUUCCACUAUGGACCGGGAAAAGCCCGAGAGCUAGGAGAACGUGGAUGAGCCGAUCACUAGUAAUGGUAUCAGGAAAAGGACCUGGGAUAAGGUCUUUGAUGAAUAUGGAUUCGUUGUGCUACUAUGACAUUGUUGGGCAUUAUGAUUCGUUGACUAUUCCCGGUCGUAAUUGUAUACUUCCUGUUUAACAUAAUUUGUAGGGGACGACGUGGGAGUUCGGAUAGUACGAGCGGGUCGGUUGAAAUGUGACAAGCUCUUGAAGAUUUUUGAUCUUUUUGUAUAAUACAUUUGGAGGACAUGUAAAAAUACAUAUGUGUAGCUAUGCAUAUUUAAGAAAAUAGGCUCUGAUUUGUCUUUGAGGAAAAAUACGGAAGACUUCGGUAAGUA
rnacentral:lncRNA from 1 species